rnacentral:rRNA from 1 species
CAGUCGCCGCGGUAAUACGAGGGGGGCAAGCGUUGUUCGGAAUUAUUGGGCGCAAAGGGUGCGUAGGCGGUUUGACAAGUCUUAUGUGAAAUCUAUGGGCUCAACCCAUAGUCUGCAUAGGAAACUGUCAGGCUUGAGAGUGGGAGAGGUGAGUGGAAUUUCCGGUGUAGCGGUGAAAUGCGUAGAUAUCGGAAGGAACACCUGUGGCGAAAGCGGCUCACUGGACCAUUUCUGACGCUGAUGCACGAAAGCUAGGGGAGCAAACAGGAUUAGAUACCCCUGUAGUCCCUGUCUCUUAUAA